AGGUAAUGAAGAACCAUCAACAUCAAAACAACCAAAAUCAAAUGAAGUGAAUAGGACAGUGGUUUAUGGAAAAGAUAAUGAAACAUACACUUCUUUUUAUAACCGUUUGAAAGAUAACGUAAGACUGUCAAACAUGUUUAUAAGAAAGAAUGUUCAUGGGGAUGGGAACUGUUUUUUAUACUGCAUCCAAGAUCAGUUUGAGAGGUUGUGUUUACCAAAUCGAUCUACUGCACAACUCAGGGCUGAUUUAGUGGACUACUUGCGACAUUUGGAUGAAAAAGACCCAUUGACCAGCCUUAUAGAUGACAAAUAUCUAGAUGAU